GUCUGGUGCCAGCAGCCGCGGUAAUUCCAGCUCCAAUAGCGUAUAUUAAAGUUGUUGCAGUUAAAAAAGCUCGUAGUUGAAUUUCGGGGUUAGUAGGUUGGUCAUGCCUCUGGUAUGUACUGGUCUCACUGAUUCCUCCUUCCUGAUGAACCGUAAUGCCAUUAAUUUGGUGUUGCGGGGAAUUUGGACUGUUACUUUGAAAAAAUUAGAGUAGAA
rnacentral:rRNA from 1 species